GGAAGGUCAUUGCCGGGGACCCCUAGGCUGGGCCCCAGGACCUCUAGGAGAUGCCGGGGGCCGUUUGCUAUGGCUUCAUCCCGGAGGUCCUGCUCGGGGUUGCCGGCUGCUUCUGCUGGCAUCCGGACACUACCCUCCUCCCUUCCUUUGCAUAAGCAGCAACUCUUCCAGGAAGCGAGUAGAAGGACGGGAUUUCCUCUCCGCGGAGCGUAAUAGAUCCCGUAGCCCAGCCGGGUCGCCAGGCAGGAGUGCGGGGCGCGCGUCUGGGUUUCUCCGGCUUGCGGGUGUGCGGUUCCAAACCUUAGCUGGGGUGGGGGAAGGGAUGUCUUUAACUUUCUGACUACCCUCCCCCUCUUCCCUCUCUCAGCCUAGAGGCAGGGAAUGCUGCGGGAUCAGAUUGGGUGCACCGAGGUGGAGGGCCAUGCCGGGUUUCGGGUUCCCCGGGGUCCGUUCCGGAGAACCCCUGGCACUCCAGAACUGGGUCCCUGCACUCACUCCAUAAUUCGCGGCGGAUCAGCGGGAGGAGGGCAGAGGGCGGGGGCGAGGGAGCUUCCUGGCGGGUGUGGCGCAAAGUGCGCGGACCCGGGUCCUGGACCGAAGAUUUAGCCCAGGGUUUCGUAUGUGUUGCUUCCUGUUGCUUUCUCCAGGGUCUGCGCUGGCCUCCUCGGGCGACUGGGCCCUGUGGCAACAGCGCCUUCUCGAGCCACGAGGUUGGCCGCCUGGAGCCUGCCUGGUGCGGGCCUCUCUCCAGCGCGGUGUGGUGAAACACCAGUUGCUGUGAAGAUAUACCCUUAGAUAUGAACUCUCCGUUAAUAUGCUUAUGAAAACAGGGGCUCAGAAAGGAUGUACUUUUCUCAAGAUCACACAGCUGCUUGUGGAACAAGGUAUCCAGAGUUAUGGCAGUUCCAGAGAUUUUGACCUGGGGCCUUAAUCUGACCUUCAAGGACUGUGGGAUCUGCCAGAGCACAGACUCUUUGUCCAUUUCUUUAUCCUUCCCAUGUCCUGUGAUGACGCCUGGCCCAUAGAAGUAACUCAGCCAGAGCUGUUGCACUAAGUGUUUAUAGAAGAAAUAAAUAGAAAGGACAACACUUCGUUAAAAGUGACAAGGGCCAGAACAACCAAGCAGCCAUCCAAGCCAUUGACUGUGGAGUACUGUGGACUCGGCCAACACCUGAAGACACAGAGCUGGUGCCAACAGAGAAGGGAAGGAAGAUGGAAGCUCUGAAAGGAAGCAUUCCCCUGAUCCGGGUUGCCUUUAAUCAGGUUGAUUAAUAGGAGUCAGCAAAUAAACUCUAAUCAAAAGAUGCCUUAAACCCUGGAGAACUCUCA